GACGAACGCUGGCGGCGUGCUUAACACAUGCAAGUCGAACGGAAAGACCCUGCUUUUGUGGGGUGCUCGAGUAGCGAACGGGUGAGUAACACGUGAGUAACCUGCCCUUGACUUUGGGAUAACUUCAGGAAACUGGGGCUAAUACCGGAUAGGAGCUCCUGCUGCAUGGUGGGGGUUGGAAAGUUUCGGCGGUUGGGGAUGGACUCGCGGCUUAUCAGCUUGUUGGUGGGGUAGUGGCUUACCAAGGCUUUGACGGGUAGCCGGCCUGAGAGGGUGACCGGCCACAUUGGGACUGAGAUACGGCCCAGACUCCUACGGGAGGCAGCAGUGGGGAAUAUUGCACAAUGGGCGGAAGCCUGAUGCAGCAACGCCGCGUGCGGGAUGACGGCCUUCGGGUUGUAAACCGCUUUCGCCUGUGACGAAGCGUGAGUGACGGUAAUGGGUAAAGAAGCACCGGCUAACUACGUG
rnacentral:rRNA from 1 species